GGGUUGUGAGGUUAAGCGACUAAGCGUACACGGUGGAUGCCCUGGCAGUCAGAGGCGAUGAAGGACGUGCUAAUCUGCGAUAAGCGUCGGUGAGGUGAUAUGAACCGUUAUAACCGGCGAUUUCCGAAUGGGGAAACCCAGUGUGUUUCGACACACUAUCAUUAACUGAAUCCAUAGGUUAAUGAGGCGAACCGGGGGAACUGAAACAUCUAAGUACCCCGAGGAAAAGAAAUCAACCGAGAUUCCCCCAGUAGCGGCGAGCGAACGGGGAGGAGCCCAGAGCCUGAAUCAGUGUGUGUGUUAGUGGAAGCGUCUGGAAAGGCGCGCGAUACAGGGUGACAGCCCCGUACACAAAAAUGCACAUAUUGUGAGCUCGAUGAGUAGGGCGGGACACGUGGUAUCCUGUCUGAAUAUGGGGGGACCAUCCUCCAAGGCUAAAUACUCCUGACUGACCGAUAGUGAACCAGUACCGUGAGGGAAAGGCGAAAAGAACCCCGGCGAGGGGAGUGAAAAAGAACCUGAAACCGUGUACGUACAAGCAGUGGGAGCCUCUUAAUGGGGUGACUGCGUACCUUUUGUAUAAUGGGUCAGCGACUUAUAUUCUGUAGCAAGGUUAACCGAAUAGGGGAGCCGAAGGGAAACCGAGUCUUAACUGGGCGUUAAGUUGCAGGGUAUAGACCCGAAACCCGGUGAUCUAGCCAUGGGCAGGUUGAAGGUUGGGUAACACUAACUGGAGGACCGAACCGACUAAUGUUGAAAAAUUAGCGGAUGACUUGUGGCUGGGGGUGAAAGGCCAAUCAAACCGGGAGAUAGCUGGUUCUCCCCGAAAGCUAUUUAGGUAGCGCCUCGUGAAUUCAUCUCCGGGGGUAGAGCACUGUUUCGGCAAGGGGGUCAUCCCGACUUACCAACCCGAUGCAAACUGCGAAUACCGGAGAAUGUUAUCACGGGAGACACACGGCGGGUGCUAACGUCCGUCGUGAAGAGGGAAACAACCCAGACCGCCAGCUAAGGUCCCAAAGUCAUGGUUAAGUGGGAAACGAUGUGGGAAGGCCCAGACAGCCAGGAUGUUGGCUUAGAAGCAGCCAUCAUUUAAAGAAAGCGUAAUAGCUCACUGGUCGAGUCGGCCUGCGCGGAAGAUGUAACGGGGCUAAACCAUGCACCGAAGCUGCGGCAGCGACACUAUGUGUUGUUGGGUAGGGGAGCGUUCUGUAAGCCUGUGAAGGUGGCCUGUGAGGGUUGCUGGAGGUAUCAGAAGUGCGAAUGCUGACAUAAGUAACGAUAAAGCGGGUGAAAAGCCCGCUCGCCGGAAGACCAAGGGUUCCUGUCCAACGUUAAUCGGGGCAGGGUGAGUCGACCCCUAAGGCGAGGCCGAAAGGCGUAGUCGAUGGGAAACAGGUUAAUAUUCCUGUACUUGGUGUUACUGCGAAGGGGGGACGGAGAAGGCUAUGUUGGCCGGGCGACGGUUGUCCCGGUUUAAGCGUGUAGGCUGGUUUUCCAGGCAAAUCCGGAAAAUCAAGGCUGAGGCGUGAUGACGAGGCACUACGGUGCUGAAGCGACAAAUGCCCUGCUUCCAGGAAAAGCCUCUAAGCAUCAGGUAACAUCAAAUCGUACCC
rnacentral:rRNA from 1 species